rnacentral:rRNA from 1 species
AACGAACGCUGGCGGCAGGCUUAACACAUGCAAGUCGAGCGCCCCGCAAGGGGAGCGGUAGACGGGUGAGUAACGCGCGGGAAUCUACCCAUCUCUACGGAAUAACGCAUGGGAACGUGCGCUAAUACCGUAUACGUCCUUCGGGAGAAAGAUUUAUCGGAGAUGGAUGAGCCCGCGUUGGAUUAGCAAGUUGGUGGGGUAAAGGCCUACCAAGGCGACGAUCCAUAGCUGGUCUGAGAGGAUGAUCAGCCACACUGGGACUGAGACACGGCCCAGAGUCCUACGGGAGGCAGCGGUGGGGAAUAUUGGACAAUGGGGGCAAGCCUGAUCCAGCCAAGCCGCGUGAGUGAUGAAGGCUCUAGGGUUGUAAAGCUCAUUCACCGGUGAAGAGAAUGACGGUAACCGGAGAAGAAGCCCCGGCUAACUUCGUGCCAGCCGCCGCGGUAAGAC